rnacentral:snRNA from 1 species
CUGCUCGCUUUGGCAGCAUGUGUACUAAAAUUGGAACCAUACAGAGAAGAUUAGCAUGGCCCCUGCACAAGGAUGACACGCAAAUUCAUGAAGUGUUCCAUAUUUUU